rnacentral:rRNA from 1 species
GAUAAACGCUGGCGGCGUGCCUAAAACAUGCAAGUCGUACGGGCAUCCUUCGGGGUGUCAGUGGCGGACGGCUGAGUAACACGUGGGUGACCUGCCUUCGCGCGGGGGACAACCGCCCGAAAGGGACGCUAAUACCGCAUGAUGUCCUGCCUUUUAAGUAGGUGGAGAUCAAAGCUGGGGAUCGCAAGACCUGGCGCUGAAGAGGGGCCGCGUCCGAUUAGCUAGUUGGUGGGGUAANGGCUCACCAAGGCAACGAUCGGUAGCCGGCCCUGA